CUCCCUACUCUUUCAAUUUCUCUCACUCAAAACCCUAGUCUCCCCAAUUCUCACCGGGAAACCGAAUUUACUCCCGUUUUUCACAAUCAACAGACGGAUAUCGUACAUUAUUCCAACAUACGACAACCUUUCAACAAUAGACGAUCGAUUUCAGUGAUUCCGCGUCGGUCUACAAUAGACUUUCAAUUUCAGGUAAUUUUCGAACAUCAAUUGUUUGGUUUUUGCAAAUGGGUUUAUGUUCAGGUAAUCUACUCAACAAGGACGCAAUCUCCUGCCGAAUAAUACAAUCUUAGGUACAAAGAGGGUCAAAGUUAAAUUGGAUGACAACUUCGAUGAUGACAUGCCAAUUGUAUUAGCUCACCAACCGCGGAAAGAAAUGCGUUAAGAGAUGGAGGAGAUGGAUGGUGAUGAUAUCGGGGAACCUAGUUGCAGCAAGAAAGACAUUUUAGUGCAUCAGUAAUUAUAAUGUAAAUGUACAUAAAAGUAAUGUACACUUUAACAAUGUACUAAUGUACAUCUACAAAAUAAUAAGAUAGUCUCAGAUUACAUUACUUGUUGUAAAACCUAUACAUUAUUGAUGAACAUAGAUAGUUUGGUGCC